CCCUUAGAUGUUCUGGGCCGCACGCGUGCUACACUGAGUGGAUCAGCGGGUCAGGUUGCGCGAAAGUGUUUCCUAAUCUUGAAAUCCGCUCGUGAUGGGGAUUGACGGUUGCAAUUUUCCGUCAUGAACGAGGAAUACCUUGUAAGCGCGGGUCAUCAUCCCGCGCUGAAUACGUCCCUGCCCUUUGUACACACCGCCCGUCGCUCCUACCGAUUGAGUGGUCCGGUGAGGCUCUGGGAUCUGAGCGGAAAGAGCGUUUCGCUGUUUCUGCUCGGAAAACUCAGUCGAACCUUAUCAUUUAGAGGAAGGAGAAGUCGUAACA
rnacentral:rRNA from 1 species